UGGGGAAUUUUGGACAAUGGGCGCAAGCCUGAUCCAGCAAUGCCGCGUGAGUGAAGAAGGCCUUCGGGUUGUAAAGCUCUUUUGUCAGGGAAGAAACGGUUGGGGCUAAUAUCCCCGGCUAAUGACGGUACCUGAAGAAUAAGCACCGGCUAACUACGUGCCAG
rnacentral:rRNA from 1 species